GAAAUGCGAUAAGUAAUGUGAAUUGCAGAAUUCAGUGAAUCAUCGAAUCUUUGAACGCACAUUGCGCCCGCCAGUAUUCUGGCGGGCAUGCCUGUUCGAGCGUCAUUUCAACCAUCAAGCCCCCGGCUUGUGUUGGGGACCUGCGGCUGCCCGCAGGCCCUGUAAAACAGUGGCGGGCUCGCUGUCACACCGAGCGUAGUAGCAUACAUUCUCGCUCAGGGCGUGCUGCGGGUUCCGGCCGUUAAACGACCUUCAUAACCCAAGGUUGACCUCGGAUCAGGUAGGAAGACCCGCUGAACUUAAGC
rnacentral:misc_RNA from 1 species